UUUCCCAGCCCAAUUCCAGCUUAUAUACCGCCGUCCGUCAGCUUACCCCGUGAGGGCCCAUUAAAAAGUAGGCGCAAUUGGUUUAGCCCCAACAAGUCAGGUCGAGGUGUAGCCUAUGGAAGGGGAAGAAAUGGGCUACAUUCUCUAAAGCAGAGAAUACGGAAGAUCGUCCUGAAACUGGACAUCUGAAGGUGGAUUUAGCAGUAAGAGGGGAAUAGAGUGCCCCCCUGAAGAUGGCCCUGAAGUGCGUACACACCGCCCGUCACUCUCCCCCAGCAUCAUCGCAUAACUUAAAUAAAACCUAAGAAAAGCAUAGGGGAGGCAAGUCGUAACAUGGUAAGUGUACCAGAAGGUGUACUUGGAUAAU
rnacentral:rRNA from 1 species